GAUGGGUCUGCGGCGGAUUAGGUUGAUGGCGGGGUAACGGCCCACCAUGCCUUCGAUCCGUAUCGGCUAUGAGAGUAGGAGCCGGGAGAUGGAUACUGAGACAAAGAUCCAGGUCCCACGGGACGCAGCAGUCGCGAAAUCUUCGCAAUGCGGGAAACCGUGACGAGGGAACCCCAAGUGUCUCGGCACAACCGAGACUUUUCUGAAGUGUAAAAAGCUUCGGGAAUAAGGGCUGGGUAAGACUGGUGCCAGCCUCCGCGGUAACACCAGCAGCUCAAGUGGUGGUCACGUUUAUUGGGCUUAAAGCGUCCGUAGUCGGCCUUGCAAGUCCUCUGUGAAAUCCUGCCGCUUAACGGUAGGGCGUGCAGAGGAUACUACAAGACUAGAGGCCGGGAGGGGGAUGGGGUAUUUCAUGGGUACCGGUGAAAUGGUAUAAUCCAUGGAAGACCACCUGUGGCGAAGGCGCCAUCCUAGAACGGGCCUGACGAUGAGGGACGAAAGCGUGGG
rnacentral:rRNA from 1 species